rnacentral:rRNA from 1 species
GUGUCAGCAGCCGCGGUAAUACGGAGGGUGCAAGCGUUAAUCGGAAUUACUGGGCGUAAAGCGUGCGUAGGCGGUUAUUUAAGUCAGAUGUGAAAGCCCCGGGCUUAACCUGGGAACUGCAUUUGAUACUGGGUAACUAGAGUUGAGUAGAGGAGAGGGGAAUUUCAGGUGUAGCGGUGAAAUGCGUAGAGAUCUGAAGGAACACCAGUGGCGAAGGCGCCUCUCUGGACUCAAACUGACGCUGAGGUACGAAAGCGUGGGUAGCAAACAGGAUUAGAAACCCCUGUAGUCC